GCGUGGCGCAAUGGUAACGCAACGCACUUGUAAUGCGUAGAUUAGGGGUUCGACUCCCCUCGC
rnacentral:tRNA from 1 species